rnacentral:rRNA from 1 species
UAAAAUUGGCUAAGUGGGAAACGAAGUGGGAAGGCUAAAACAGUCAGGAUGUUUGGCUUAGAAGCAGCCAUCAGUUUAAAGAAAGCGUAAUAGCUCACUGAUCGAGUCGUCCUGCGCGGAAGAUGUAACGGGGCUAAGCCAGUUACCGAAGCUGCGGAUUCACAGUUUACUGUGAGUGGUAGGAGAGCGUUCUGUAAGCCUGAGAAGGUGUCUUGAGAAGGAUGCUGGAGGUAUCAGAAGUGCGAAUGCUGACAUGAGUAGCGUUAAAGGGGGUGAAAAGCCCCCUCGCCGAAAGCGCAAGGUUUCCUACGCAACGUUCAUCGGCGUAGGGUGAGUCGGCCCCUAAGGCGAGGCAGAGAUGCGUAGCUGAUGGGAAACAGGUUAAUAUUCCUGUACCGAUCUAUAGUGCGAUGUGGGGGACG